rnacentral:rRNA from 1 species
GACGAACGCUGGCGGCGUGCUUAACACAUGCAAGUCGAACGGUAAGGCCCUUCGGGGUACACGAGUGGCGAACGGGUGAGUAACACGUGGGUGAUCUGCCCUGCACUUCGGGAUAAGCCUGGGAAACUGGGUCUAAUACCGGAUAGGACCACUCCCUGCAUGGGUGGUGGUGGAAAGAUUUUGCGGUGUGGGAUGGGCCCGCGGCCUAUCAGCUUGUUGGUGGGGUGAUGGCCUACCAAGGCGACGACGGGUAGCCGGCCUGAGAGGGUGACCGGUCACACUGGGACUGAGACACGGCCCAGACUCCUACGGGAGGCAGCAGUGGGGAAUAUUGGACAAUGGGCGGAAGCCUGAUCCAGCAACGCCGCGUGAGGGAUGACGGCCUUCGGGUUGUAAACCUCUUUCAGCAGAGACGAAGCGCAAGUGACGGUACCUGCAGAAGAAGCACCGGCCAACUACGUGCCAGCAGCCGCCGUAAAAC